AGCGUAGGCGGCGAGGUAAGUCAGAUGUGAAAUGCCGGGGCUCAACCUCGGAACUGCAUCCGAUACUGCCUUGCUAGAGUAGUGGAGGGGCAUCUGGAAUUCACGGUGUAGCAGUGAAAUGCGUAGAUAUCGUGAGGAACACUAGUGGCGAAGGCGAGAUGCUGGACACUUACUGACGCUGAGGCUCGAAGGCCAGGGUAGCGAAAG
rnacentral:rRNA from 1 species